UUUUGAAAAAAGAUUUAUUAUAUAUAAGUACACUGUAGCUGUUUUCAGACACACCAGAAGAGGGCAUCGGAUUCUAUUACAGAUGGUUGUGGUUGCUGGGAUUUGAACUCAGGACCUCUGGAAGAGCAGUCAGUGCUCUUAACCACUGAGCCCCUACACUGUGAUUUUUAUAGUUUGAUUUUGCUGGGAUAAACUGAGAGGAAAAAAAAAAGUUGUUGGAGCUUGCUCAUUUGGAGCUUUGCUCUAGCCAUCAAAUGUGUGUUUGUGUGUGCAUGUAUGUAUAUGUAUGAAGUUGUUGGAGCUUGCUUGUUUUGUUUCAUCCAUCAAACAUGGGUUAGUUUCUUUGCUCCACCCAUCAAAUGUGUUUGUGUGCAUGUGUUGCGUAUGUGUGCGGUGUGUGUUUGUGUGUGUUACUACUGCUUCUCCACUUUCCUCACCAGAGAAUCAAGCUUUGUUUCUUGCCCCCAGGUACUACUUUGCCUGCUCCCUCCGUGAUCUACUGCCAACUCUACACCCCACCUCAGUUUACCCUGACUCAUCAUUGAAGCUGGUCUUUGACAGUUUUCAGUGAUUUUGAGGUUAGCCAGUUUACAUAUCAAGUUCCAGGACAAUCUGAGAGACACUGUUUCAACAAAUAAGAGUCAGAAUUAGGUGGACUCAGUAGGAUUUAACACCAAGCUGGGUGAUGUUGGGGCACGUGUGCACACCUUUAAUCCCAGUACUCACUCUGUGAGCUGCAGGCCAGUUUGGUCUUCAAGCUAGUUUUAAGAUAGCCAAGGCCAUACAAAGCCCCAAGUGACACCAAUACAUAGGAAACUGGAAAGGAAAAGUAGGAAUAGGAAAGGAAUUGUCAGGGAAUGGGGUUAUUGGUGGUGGCGACAGAUUUUGUAAGCACGUUCUAUAUAUGAAAUUCUCAAACAGUAAAAAAGGAAAAACCACAGUGGUGAUUGAGGAAGACUUCAAUCAUUGGCCUCCAGUUACCACAUACAUUCAUGCACAUUUGCUUUGUGCAGAAACAUAUACAUCUCCUUACCUUUCCCACCCCUAAAAAGGGCUGACAGCAAGCUGUGCUGGUUGUGGGUUUUCAAACACAGACGGCAAAGCCAAGGCUGGCCUCGGGAUCCAAUGGCAGGUGUCAAGGGUAGAACUGUUAUCCCAAAUGUGAGUCCAGUGUGUGUGUGUGUGUGUGUGUGUGUGUGUGUACACAUGCAUGUGGACUCCACACGACUGUGUACCAUACGCAUGCCUGGCAACUUUGGAGGCCAGAAGAGGAUGGUAUAUUCCCAGAACUGGAGUUACAGACAGCGGUGAGCCACCACAUGGGUGCUAGAAUUGAGCCCCAGCCCUCUGCAAGGACAGUAAGAUUGUUAACUGAACUGUCCGUUUAGUCCCAUUUAUUAUUUUUCUCCCUAAGAUCAAGUCUUGCUGUGUAGUUCAGGCUGGCUUCAAACCUUCAAUCUUCCUGCCUUUGCCUCCUAAGUAAAUGGGAUGGCAGGCAAUGAAGAAGGUGUGCUCAGUUUGCUGAAACUUCAAGAGAGUAAUUAGUACCCGAGUGUGAUGGUGCAUGCCUUUGAUCCCAGCACUCAGAAGCACAGGCUGAGUUUGAGACCAGCCUGGUCUACAGAUCAAGUUUUAGGACAGCCAGGGCUAUACAAAGAAACCUUGUCUGGAAAAAAAAAAAACCCUCCCCCCAAAGAACCCCAAAGGUUUGAUUAAGUCAUCAGGGUGGACCUAAGACAUUCUGGUCAGACACCUACCAGAUGUGAAGCCAUAGGCCAAAAACAGGCAUUGAUAGUUAAGAGGCCUCAGAGGAAACUCACUGUGGUGACAUUUUGACCUUUGACAUUAACCCAUAGUACUGUGAGAAUUCAUUACCUAAGACAGCAGUGCAAGGUGCUGUCAUAGUAGUCCUGGCAGACAAAUGUACUGGGUCUUGGGAAAGAAAGAUAUCUAGGGGCUGCCAGCCUGCCACUGCAAAGUUGUUUCAAAUCCUUGCAUCUGCUAGGAGGAAGCAAUCCAUUUUGGUGUAUCUUCCAGGAAGCCUUGGAUGUAUCGCUGUACAAGGUAGGGCUCUUUACUUGCCUGGGGGUGCUUGCUAGGGGUCCCUCAGCCUCAUCAGAGGGAUGAAUGCUCUACAGAACCCCUCACUUCUAACCUUAGCUUAUUCUCUAAUGGUUUUCUGCAUGUUCUUUCCAGCCCAUCAAGAAGUGGCAGAUGCCACAGACACAGCAAUCGCACAUUGUCUUAUGUCCUUUCCAAAUUAAAACAUUUCCAGCUUUAGGACCAAGAAGAGAAAAUUCUAAGAGCAGAAAAGAAAUUAAGUUAUUGAUGGAAGCAGUUGCCAUGGCACUGAGCUGUCCUUGGAGCUGCCAGCUGCCACUUGAUUCCCCCCCCCCCCCCCAAAUGAAGGAGUGCAUGAAGCUAAAGACCUGCUUCCCACUGUGAGGGAGAAAAUAAACUCUGCAUUUUAAUUAGGCAGCUAGCCAAUCAUGAGAACUUAUGUCUUUAGAGUGACUAUGCAACCAAGGUACAAGACUUCUCUUUCACUAUUACAUUUUUUUAAAAAAGAUGUAUGUAUGUAUGUAUGUAUAUAUGUAUGUAUGUUAUAUAAGUACACUGUAGCUGUAUUCAGAUACCAGAAGAGGGCAUUGGAUUCCCAUUACAGAUGAUUAGCACUCACAACACACGAAAUACACAAUAUGUAAAUUUAAGAAAUGCAGACACUAAACUGUAAAGGCAGGGGCCUAAGAUUCUGCAUUAUUCUUAACUGUAAAAUAUAGGAGUGGUGUGGUGUUGGUGUUGGUGUUAAGAUGAUUCAGCUAAGCAGUUAAGAGCAAUGGUUACCCUUCUGGAGCACCAGAGUUCGAAUCCCAGCACCCACAUAGCAAAUCACAACCAUUUGUAACUCCAGUCCCAGGGGACACCACCUGGCCUCAGUGCACAAUGCAUAAAUGUGGUACAGGAAAACAUGCAGACAAAAAAUACAUAUAAAAACAAAGCUUUUCUCCUUUUCAGUACUGGGACUGUAUGUGCUAGGCAAGUGCCACUGCUGUGUCCUAGCUCAACUAAAAUAUCUUCUUCCCUUAGGCAAACUCCAUUCCCAGUAACACCUGUCCUCCCAUAGCCUGCACUGAUGAGUGGGUGUGGUGAGGUGUGUUCUGUGGGCCCAGUAUUUGAAUACCAGGCUCUUUAUUUAGAGUCACUUUUGGUACCAGGGAAUAGCAGAUGUUGUGACAAGCACACACCACGUUUGUUGGGCAUUUCCUGGCUGGCGGUAUGAGAACAGGAUUAGACAGCAAGCCUACCUCACUCGAGAGGGUAGCUAGAAUCUGUACAGUGAGGGAGACACAGCUAUUAGUGCUCUGGUUUGGAGGCACUCUGGGUAUCUCUACAGAUGCUGAGGGUCAAUUCCUAGUCCAGCCUUUAGGGGUGGGGUCUGUGAGGCCUCUGGGAGGUGUAUAGGAUUUAGUAGAGCCAACAGAGUAGAGCUUCGAGGAAAGGAGGCAGACGAAGCAGUCCUUAGCACAGGAAAUACCAUGUUGCUCUGAGAUUCUGGCAGAAGUCCUUUCCAACUAACUGCCUCACUGUUGCCAGCCUGACGGGAAGCAGACAUGACUUACCUUCUUCUUGUCAAUCUCUUCUUUUUUUAAUGGUUUAUGUGAGUACACUGUCGCUGUCUUCAGACACACCAGAAGAGGGCAUCAGAUCCCAUUACAGUUGGUUGUGAGCCACCAUGUGGUGGCUGGGAAAUUGAACUCAGGACCUCUGGAAGAGCAGUCAGUGCUCUCUGCCGCUGAGCCAUCUCUCCAGCCCUCUUCUUGCCAAUCUUAUGAUACCAGCAUUAUCAACAUCUUUAUACAUGCUGCUACUUUCUCCUUCAUCAUUGCCCAGGAAUGCUCUAGUAAUGUUGCCAGAUGGACUGCAUUACUUGCAGCACUAUCAACAGCACCAAGGCAUACACCACCACUUCUUCGCUUUUUGUUCCCUGAGACAAGGUUUCUCUAUGUGGCCGUGGCUGUCCUAGAUCUCACUCUGUAGACUAGGCUGGCCUCAAACUAACAGAGAUCUGUCUGCCUCUGCCUCCUGAGUGCUGGGAUUAAAGGUGUGUGCCACCAGUGCCUGGGCACAUAACUUUACAUCUGUACAGCAUUUUUUUUUUUUUUUACCAUUCCAAUUGCUAAAAGCAAAACCAAUGACAAAAUAGGAUUAUUUGCUGAAAGCCAUCUCAUCUCAGUCGGUCCUUCCCUGAUCGUCAGUGGUGACAGGCAGGCUUUGGUUACAUUAAGUGGACAAUAUUUUUCUUUGGCUGUUGAGCUGGAAUCGAGAAUAUCUGUAUUUUUGAAUCUUAACUCUUGGGUCUCCAGCUCUAUUAGCUCUCUGCACUGUUGUGGUCUGUGGUAAUUUGUGUGAAAUCAGAAAAUAAACAAAAACACCCAAACAACAAAAAACAGGCCAGCAAAGAUGGCUCAGUGGUUGGAAAUCUGAUGACCCAGUUUCCUCCUCAGAUCCCAUGGUCAAGAGACAAAUGUGAAGAGGUCAGAUGACAAACCUGAAGGAGCUGGUUCUCUCCUUCCACCUUCUGGGUUCGAGGGACUGAGUUCACCCAGCCCAUUGCUUGGUGGCAAGUGACUUUAUUCAAUGAGCCAUUUAACGAGUCCAUCCACACAUAGGCAGGGCCUUUCCUGUGUAGCCUUGGCUGUCCUUGAACUCACAGAAAUCUGCCUAUCUCUACUUCCUAGAGUACUAGAAAGGUAGGCAUGUGCAACAAACAGUGCCCAGAUUCAUUAACCCAGCUUUGUUGGACACCCUUUAAUUGCCAUGCUCCAGCCUGUUUCCUAGCACUAGUCCUUAUCCUGUAUUAUUUUAACUUUUCCUUGAGGUGGGAUGAUCACCAACAGCACAGCUUCCUUGAUCUAAAUGUUUUAGUAUUAACUUUCAUUCCAACUGUAACAAGUCCUGAUGCAUCAACCACAUGUAGGCAUUUAAACAAUCACUUCAUGUGUCCAAGUGCAAGUGUAUCCCAAGGAUCAAACGUGGGAUUGGUGACAAAUGCCUUUAUCCCUGGAGCUGCCUGAAUGGCCCACAUGAAGUUUUAUUCUCUUAGCAGUGGCUAGUGAAUUGUGGGAGCAAGAGUGGGGUGCUGUUCACUCCUGCAGAUUAUGGCACCUUAUUUAUAACCACACCGAACCAUGGCUUCUCUGAUGGACUGACUUCCCAUAGGUCCUUGCAUGCCUCUCUCCCUAGUUGUACGGCUUCUCCAAAGUGGUGUGGCCUCAUGUUUCAAAGCCAGGAGGAUGGACUCACCAAAUAGGCUCUCAACUAGGUGUCCAACCUUUUGACACUGUGACAUGUUGCAAUCUACAGAGUUGAUACUUGAGGACUUCACAAUAAUGACAAGUUUGUGUCUUGACCAAGUCUGACUUUGCUCUGGGUCUCAUCUGCAGCCAUUUCAGCCUCUGCUAACAGCUCAGCCCCCCCUUACCCAUCUCUGCCCAUGGUUUCAAGGUUUCCUUGGUUACUUCUGUGAUAUUUGCUCUUCUAUGAUUUUUUCUCAAAAAAUUAAGGAGUGGGUGGUAGACAGUUAAGGAUUGAGAUUCCAUUUCAUGAAAGGACACAGGUAAAAAUGGUACCCCAAAAGUUGAAAACAGUACUGUGGACUUUGUAUGCAGUAAUCUUCAAAACCAGGUAACUGGGUCAAGUGCUGUAUAGCUGAAGGCCCCACCUCCGGGUCCUAGUCAGUCUGGGAACGCUGGUAGUGUUUCUACUUAGCCACUGUGGGUUUUUGCUUUGGUCUUGUCUCAGGGACUCCUCUCCCCAUUUUGUGUAGUCCUAAGAACCCACACUCAUGGGUCUUGUGCUGCUCUCAAGGUCAGUCCUGAUUCCAGCACCUCAGGCAGCACACAUCCACUUCUUGCUUCUUUACAUGCCUAAAUUCCUAUUAGAUAGAGAUGCCCCCUGGCUCUAGAAGGCAGCUUUCACUCACCAUCCACAUGUCUAACUAGCACCAACCAACACCCUUUAGACUUAGUCUUAAAAAAAAAAAAAAAA
rnacentral:lncRNA from 1 species